UACGUAGGGGGCAAGCGUUGUCCGGAUUUAUUGGGCGUAAAGAGCGUGUAGGCGGCCAGGUAGGUCUGCUGUGAAAACUCGAGGCUCAACCUCGAGACGUCGGCGGAAACCAUCUGGCUAGAGUCCGGAAGAGGAGAAUGGAAUUCCCGGUGUAGCGGUGAAAUGCGCAGAUAUCGGGAAGAACACCCGUGGCGAAAGGCGGUUCUCUGGGACGGUACUGACGCUGAGACGCGAAAGCGUGGGGAGCGAACAGG
rnacentral:rRNA from 1 species